GGGGGCGUGGCGGAACGGUAUACGCAGCAGCUUCAAACCCUGUGGCUUCGGCAUGAGGGUUCGAAUCCCUCCGCCCCUA
rnacentral:tRNA from 1 species